AUCAGCAUGGUGUAGUGGUUUGAGCAUUGGACUACAACUCUGGAUGGAGAUCAGGGUUCAACUCCCUGCUGAAG